rnacentral:rRNA from 1 species
AUACGGAGGAUCCGAGCGUUAUCCGGAUUUAUUGGGUUUAAAGGGAGCGUAGGUGGACAGUUAAGUCAGUUGUGAAAGUUUGCGGCUCAACCGUAAAAUUGCAGUUGAUACUGGCUGUCUUGAGUACAGUAGAGGUGGGCGGAAUUCGUGGUGUAGCGGUGAAAUGCUUAGAUAUCACGAAGAACUCCGAUUGCGAAGGCAGCUCACUGGACUGCAACUGACACUGAUGCUCGAAAGUGUGGGUAUCAAACAGGAUUAGAUACCCUGGUAGUCCACACAGUAAACGAUGAAUACUCGCUGUUUGCGAUAUACAGUAAGCGGCCAAGCGAAAGUAUUAAGUAUUCCACCUGGGGAGUACGCCGGCAACGGUGAAACUCAAAUGAAUUGACGGGG